rnacentral:rRNA from 1 species
GACGAACCGAGCGAACGUUGUUCGGAAUCACUGGGCUUAAAGGGCGCGUAGGCGGGCUGCCAAGUUUGGGGUGAAAUCCACCGGCUCAACCGGAGAAGGCCUCGAAUACUGGCGGUCUGGAGGGAGGUAGGGCGUGCGGAACUAACGGUGGAGCGGUGAAAUGCGUUGAUAUCGAGAGGAACACCUGCGGCGAAGGCGGGUUGCUGGGCUGACACUGACGCUGGAAGCGCGAAAGCUAGGGGAGCGAACGGG